ensembl:snRNA U6 U6 spliceosomal RNA
GUGCUCGCUUCAGCAGCACAUAUACUAAAAUUGGAACAAUACAGAGAAGUUUAGCAUGGCCCCUGUGCAAGGAUGACACGCAAAUUCGUGAAGUGUUCCAUAUUUCA